rnacentral:rRNA from 1 species
CGCGGCCUAUCAGCUUGUUGGUGAGGUAACGGCUCACCAAGGCAUCGACGGGUAGCUGGUCUGAGAGGACGAUCAGCCACACUGGGACUGAGACACGGCCCAGACUCCUACGGGAGGCAGCAGUAGGGAAUCUUGCGCAAUGGGGGCAACCCUGACGCAGCAACGCCGCGUGUGGGAUGACGGCUUUCGGGUUGUAAACCACUUUCAGUGAUGACGAAAAUGACGGUAAUCACAGAAGAAGGUCCGGCCAACUACGUGCCAGCAGCCGCGGUAACACGUAAGGACCGAGCGUUGUCCGGAUUUAUUGGGCGUAAAGAGCUCGUAGGCGGUUCUGUAAGUCGGAUGUGAAAACUCAGGGCUCAACCCUGAGACGCCAUCUGAUACUGCAGUGACUAGAGUCCGGUAGAGGAAGAUGGAAUUCCUGGUGUAGCGGUGGAAUGCGCAGAUAUCAGGAGGAACACCAACGGCGAAGGCAGUCUUCUGGGCCGGUACUGACGCUGAGGAGCGAAAGCAUGGGGAGCAAACAGGAUUAGAUACCCUGGUAGUCCAUGCCGUAAACGUUGGGCACUAGGUG